AACCAGCCUUCCGGAAUUGGGGAUGUGUGUACUUUGUUUGGGGAGGAUCGGAUAUUUGGGGGGACAUCGCCAUCCACCCGCUUUGAAUUCUGGUGCCAGAAACUGGGGGAGGAUUCAAUAAACAAUGGGGAGAAACCUCCCCACCCGCCAUUCUAGAGAAAGUGCCAGAGUCACUUGGAAUGAUUUCAUCUAAACACAAAUCAAAUCAUCACGCUGCAUGCGAAAGCAGAAGACAUCUCAGGACUUUACGGACUAAAUCUUAGAUGUCCUCAUUGCCUGAGUAGUUGGCUGGCUCCCAAAGAUACUUCAUCAGUUUGAAACAUCUUUCCUAGAGGAUUCCCAUUACCGAUGGAAUUCUGGAAGACUCCUCGGCAAGGAAGCUUAUUUUGUGCAGAACACAGGACUAAUUGCUGAGGAGUUACGCUACAAAAGAAUUAGGAGACAUAAUCGCUACCCACAAGGAACAUACAGGAGUGGCUCUUCUAGAGGAGAAGCUUCAAAAUUAUCAUGAUAAAAGGAGACAAGAGGCAAAAAGUUCAGAAACGUGAAACCUUAUGGACAAGGUGAAACUUGGACGAAUCCAAAUAUCUGGCAUCCAGCUAAACCGGAGGGCUUGCUGCGACAGGUGGCACACGGAUGCAUCAAAUCAGACAAUGCUCACUCUGGGCGAAGACCUUGACAAUCUCAGUUUGCUUCAUGCAGCCUCUCUCUCUGGGAGUUGCUACAAGGAAAUCUUUAAGUGGUGCAUUGACAUUCCCCGUGCAUACCGCUGAUUCACAACACCGGUUCUCUUCAGAAAUGACAAUUUCCCCUUUGUUGCAGAUGGUUGAAACUGGAUAAGGGAAUAUCAUUUCAGAUCAAAAGCACCGAUGCUGCCUCUUGAAGACUGGAAUAAAGACGGCAGAAUGAUUCUUGGUCUUGAUAACUUCACAAGCUCUUCUAAGCAGCUUUACUGGAUGGUUAUCAUAUUUAUUUGAAACACAUCGUAUCUGAAAUAAAAAUAGAAGAUUCAAGAUGUACAGCUUUAAGGGAAAUAGGGGCCAAUACUUUGAAUCAGAAUCUAAAUAAAUGGUGUGUAUUUGUGA